UGGCUCAGAGGGUAAAGUAUCUGCCUGCAAUGCGGGAGACCCCAGGUUCGAUCCCUGG
rnacentral:tRNA from 1 species